rnacentral:piRNA from 1 species
UGAACAGAAAUGUGGGUUCACAU